CCACUUGUAACUCCGCCGCACGCGCCCUACAUUAAAACUGUCCUUCGGGACUAUGGAUAUAAACGCGCUUGUAAUAAGCGGAUCGGACCCGGGGGCGGUACCCGGCGACUCCACCAAAAUCCUUCUUUGGGGAUCAUGGGGUCGAAAUAGGAUCGACGAACGUCUAAAGAGGUUUGCUUUAUCUCGGUGAGUUACCACCGUUAUCGGUACAUAAAAAGCUAGUUGCAAAUGACAACGACGCUCCGAUGGCUCUAGCUGCGUAAGCAGUUCGAAAUAUCGAAAACUUAGUCCCCUAGCUUUGCAGCUUUGGGCGGGGUUCGCAGGUACCUGGCAACAGAAACCUGCACU
rnacentral:tmRNA from 1 species